rnacentral:rRNA from 1 species
GACGAACGCUGGCGGCGUGCUUAACACAUGCAAGUCGAACGGAAAGGCCCUGCUUUUGUGGGGUGCUCGAGUGGCGAACGGGUGAGUAACACGUGAGUAACCUGCCCUUGACUUUGGGAUAACUUCAGGAAACUGGGGCUAAUACCGGAUAGGAGCUCCUGCUGCAUGGUGGGGGUUGGAAAGUUUCGGCGGUUGGGGAUGGACUCGCGGCUUAUCAGCUUGUUGGUGGGGUAGUGGCUUACCAAGGCUUUGACGGGUAGCCGGCCUGAGAGGGUGACCGGCCACAUGGGGACUGAGAUACGGCCCAGACUCCUACGGGAGGCAGCAGUGGGGAAUAUUGCACAAUGGGCGGAAGCCUGAUGCAGCAACGCCGCGUGCGGGAUGACGGCCUUCGGGUUGUAAACCGCUUUCGCCUGUGACGAAGCGUGAGUGACGGGAAUGGGUAAAGAAGCACCGGCUAACUACGU